rnacentral:rRNA from 1 species
CAGCAGCCGCGGUAAUACAGAGGGUGCGAGCGUUAAUUGGAUUUACUGGGCGUAAAGCGUGCGUAGGCGGCUUCUUAAGUCGGAUGUGAAAUCCCUGAGCUUAACUUAGGAAUUGCAUUCGAUACUGGGAAGCUAGAGUAUGGGAGAGGAUGGUAGAAUUCCAGGUGUAGCGGUGAAAUGCGUAGAGAUCUGGAGGAAUACCGAUGGCGAAGGCAGCCAUCUGGCCUAAUACUGACGCUGAGGUACGAAAGCAUGGGGAGCAAACAGGAUUAGAUACCCCUGUAGUCCCUGUCUCUUAUAA